rnacentral:misc_RNA from 1 species
GAAGUCCUAGGGAAACGAAACCUCCAGUUUUCUCCACAACUAGCCCAUGACUCCCCUCGUUUCUGAAUAUCUUCAUGCUAAACCCUUCAAACCUCCUUCACUAAUUCCACCUUCGUUCUCUCAUGGGACUGUAUCUUCACACCUUAGUUAACCCGUAUUUUCUCAGAUAGAGUCUCUUCUGUUACCCCUUUCUGUGAUCCAUUUGGAGCCCACACGAUCAAACGAGCCUCCUCUUGAAAUCCCUUUGGAUUAUGU